rnacentral:rRNA from 1 species
UACAGAGGUCUCAAGCGUUGUUCGGAUUCAUUGGGCGUAAAGGGUGCGUAGGUGGCAUGGUAAGUCGGAUGUGAAAUCCCGGGCUCAACCCCGGAACUGCAUUCGAUACUGCUGCGCUAGAGUACUGGAGAGGAGGAUUGGAAUUUACGGUGUAGCAGUGAAAUGCGUAGAUAUCGUAAGGAAGACCAGUGGCGAAGGCGGAUCUCUGGACAGUUACUGACACUGAGGCAGCGAAGGCCAGGGAGCAAACGGG